rnacentral:misc_RNA from 1 species
GUGGUGGUGGAGGAGGAGGAGGUGGAGGUGCACAGAAACUUACUACAAACGAUGCCUUGGCUUAUCUCAAGGCUGUGAAGGACAUAUUUCAAGACAAAAGAGAAAAAUAUGAUGACUUUCUCGAGGUCAUGAAGGAUUUCAAAGCUCAAAGAAUUGACACGGCUGGUGUCAUAGCAAGGGUGAAGGAGUUAUUUAAAGGGCAUCGUGACCUAAUUUUAGGUUUCAAUACCUUUUUGCCUAAGGGAUAUGAGAUCACCCUCCCUUUAGAGGACGAACAGCCUCCACAGAAGAAGCCUGUUGAAUUUGAAGAAGCAAUUAACUUUGUGAACAAAAUUAAGACAAGGUUUCAAGGGGAUGAUCAUGUUUACAAAUCAUUUUUAGACAUUUUGAACAUGUACAGAAAAGAAAAUAAAUCCAUCACUGAAGUCUACCAAGAGGUUGCUAUGCUUUUUCAAGACCAUAAUGAUCUGCUAGUGGAGUUUACUCAUUUUCUACCUGAUUCUUCAGCUACAGUCUCAGCUUACUAUCCUCCAUCUGUUAGGAAUUCCAUUCUUCAUGAUAGGAGCUCUGCUAUGCCCACAAUGCGCCAAAUGCAUGUUGACAAGAAAGAAAGGACUGCUGUUUCCCAUGCUGAUCGUGACUUCAGUGUUGACCGUCCUGAUCCAGACCAUGAUAUAUCUCUAAUAAGAUUGGACAAAGAGCAACGAAGGCGUGGUGAAAAAGAAAAGGAGAGGAGAGAAGAUCGAGAUAGGAGAGAUCGGGAAGAUAGAGAUUAUGAGCAUGAUGGUAGUCAAGAAUUCAUGCAACGGUUUCCCCACAAACGGAAAUCUGCUCGUAGAGUUGAAGAUUCAGCUGCUGAACAUCAAGGUGGGGAUGCUGAUGAAAACUUUGAAAUGCAUCCUGUUUCUUCCACUCAUGAUGAUAAAAAUGCUGUGAAAAAUGCAUUAAGCCAAGAGCUUGCUUUCUGUGAGAAAGUGAAGGAAAAGUUGUGUAAUCCUGAUGAUUACCAGGGAUUUUUGAGGUGUCUUCACCUAUAUACCAGAGAAAUAAUCACAAGAUCUGAAUUGCAAUCUUUGGUGGGUGAUUUACUUGGAAAAUACUCUGAUCUUAUGGAUGGCUUCAAUGAAUUUUUGGCACGUUGUGAGAAGAAUGAAGGUCUGCUAGCUGGUGUUGUGAGUAAAAAAUCCUCGUGGAAUGAAAGUAAUUUGCCCAGACCUGUGAAGCUAGAGGACAGGGAUAGGGAUCGGGAUCGGGAUCGCGAGAGGGAAGAUGCGGUUAAAGACAGAGAACGUGAAACACGGGAAAGGGAUAGACUUGACAAAAAUGUAGCCUUUAGCAAUAAUAAAGAUUCAGGGGGUCACAAGAUGUCUUUAUUUUCCAGCAAGGAUAAGUUCUUGAAGCCAAUUAAUGAACUUGACCUAUCUAAUUGUGAGCGCUGCACUCCCAGUUAUCGACUUCUGCCAAAGAAUUAUCCCAUACAAUCAGCAAGUCAGAGGACAGAACUUGGUGCUGAAGUACUGAACGAUCAUUGGGUAUCUGUCACUUCAGGAAGUGAAGAUUACUCUUUUAAACACAUGCGCAAAAACCAGUAUGAAGAAAGCCUGUUUCGAUGUGAAGAUGACAGGUUUGAGCUGGAUAUGUUGUUGGAAUCUGUUAAUGUAACAACCAAGCGUGUAGAAGAAUUAUUAGAAAAGAUCAACAACAAUACAAUAACAACAGAGAGUCCAAUUCAUUUUGAGGAGCACUUAACAGCUUUGAAUCUGAGGUGUAUUGAACGUUUGUAUGGUGAUCAUGGGCUUGACGUGAUGGAUGUAUUAAGGAAGAACACUUCUCUUGCUUUGCCAGUCAUAUUAACUCGUUUGAAGCAGAAACAAGAAGAGUGGGCAAGGUGUCGUGCUGAUUUCAACAAAGUUUGGGCUGAAAUUUAUUCCAAGAACUAUCACAAGUCCCUUGAUCAUCGUAGUUUCUAUUUCAAGCAACAGGACACAAAGAGCUUGAGCACAAAAGCCUUGUUGGCAGAGAUCAAAGAAAUUAGCGAGAAGAAGCGCAAAGAAGAUGAUGUGCUUCUUGCUUUUGCUGCUGGAAACAGAAGACCUAUCAUACCUAAUUUGGAAUUUGAGUACCCAGAUGCUGACAUUCAUGAGGAUUUAUAUCAGCUCAUCAAAUUCUCUUGUGGAGAAGUUUGUACAACUGAACAGUUGGACAAAGUGAUGAAGAUUUGGACAACUUUCUUGGAACCCAUGCUUGGUGUUCCCACUCGGCCUCAUGGUGCUGAAGACACUGAAGAUUUUGUUAAGGCAAAGAAUCAUUCUUCCAAAAGUGGAGAUAGUGAAGGCAGCCCUAGUGGUGGUGGUGGUACAGUCAUCAACAAGCAUUCAAAUCCUUCAAGAAAUGGAGAUGAAAGUAUCCCACCUGAACAAUCAAGUUCUUGUAAGGCUUGGUUGCUAAAUGGAGAUAAUGGGGUUAAAGAAAAUGGUUCUCCAGAUGCAGAUCAUAUAGCUCGCAAGAGUGAUACCUCUUGCAGUACUGUUCAACAUGAUAAGAUGCAGAUUAAUACAGCCUCAGCUGAUGAAACAUCAGUAGUUGGCAAACAAGCUACUUCCAAUGAACGAUUAGUCAAUUCAAACACGUCACUUGCCACUGGAGCAGAGUUAAGUAAUGGACGAACUAACAUAGAAACAGGUUUGAAAAAUGCUUUCAACAUAAUGUAACUUGUAUUUAUUUCCUAGGUCCGUAAUUCUUAGCUGCAAUUGCUAGUUGUUGCUUUGAUUAUGUUUCCCUUCACAAAAUGAUAGCUAGAUUUCUGAGACAACUGUUUGUUGCAAGGGCUUGGUGUUCCUCCUACAAGACCAAGUAAUGGUACCCUUAAUGGUGGGCUUGGAUUAGGUUCAAGCAAUGAAAUUUUGCCUUCAGCAGAGGUAUGGUUAUUCCAUGCAUGAGUUUGUAUUGGUCACUCAAACUGAGCAUUGCUUUUAAUGGGCAAUUCAUCUGAUAGUCAAGGCAAUUUGAAAGCAUUAAACUUGGUGUCAUGUGACUAGGUUUAAAGCCAAAUUGGUUACCAAGUCAUACCGUUUUAAGUUCUGAUCGUUAACUUGCAGGCAUCUGUUCCUGGCAUUGAAAUUGACAUACAAAAUACAGAAUAAUACUCUCUGAUUGACAGCUUGAUUUGUCUUGGGGUUAUUGACAAAAAUAAUUAAGGGAGAGGUUACGCAUUCAAUUUACAGUUAUAGAUGACUGUGUUUGUUAUUGAUCUAGCAGGGUGGUGAAUUUUCAAGACCAACUGCAUCCACAAAUGGGUUGACAACAGAAGGUGUUAGAAAUCACAGAUGUAAUGGUGAAUCUGCUGCACAAUUUAAAAUUGAAAGAGAAGAAGGUGAAUUAUCUCCAAAUGGGGAUUUUGAGGAGGAUAAUUUUGCAGCUUAUGGAGAAGGUGGUUUAGAGGCUGUGCAUAAGGCAAAGGAAAGUGCUGUAAGUAGGCAGUACCAAACAAGACAUGGAGAAGAAGAAACAUGUGGGGCGGCAGGAGUAGAAAAUGAUGCUGAUGCUGAUGAUGAAGGUGAUGAAAGUGCUCAAAGGUCAUCAGAGGAUAGUGAGAAUGCCUCUGAGAAUGCUGGUGUAUCUGGAAGUGAAUCUGGUGAUGGUGAAGAUUGCUCUCGAGAGGAAGAUGGAGAGCAUGAUGAACAUGAUAAUAAAGCUGAAAGUGAAGGUGAAGCUGAAGGGAUGGCUGAUGCCCAUGAUGUUGAAGGAGAUGGAACAAUGUUGCCAUUUUCAGAGCGUUUUCUUCUAAAUGUGAAGCCUUUAGCAAAGCAUGUCCCUCCAGCAUUACACGACAAAGAAAAGGAUUCUCGGGUUUUCUAUGGAAGUGAUUCUUUCUAUGUGCUUUUUAGACUUCACCAAGUAAUGCCCUUUUUGCCGCUGAAGUUCUGUGCAGAAUUUUGAUCUGUAAAUAACCUCUAAAAGUUAAUUAUGUGAUUGAUUUCAUUAACAUAACAUCCCCUGUUUCCUAAUUUGGUAGACAUUGUAUGAGAGAAUACAAUCA